UUUUAUUUUGUAUCAAUGUGAAACUUUUGUGAAUUGAUGGAUAACGGUGUUGAAUGAACGUUGUGAAACUUUUGUAAUAUGUAACGAUGGAACUAUGUGUUGGCUAUGUAUGUAUAUAUGAUGAAACUUGUGUGUUGGAUAUGAUCUGGUGGACGCAGGUAACAUCGUUACAUAUGGCCCCCUGUAUGUAAGCUAAGCAGAUCUGUGUUGUAUGUUAUCUCUAAUAUUUUUUAACCUGUGAAAAUAUCAGAAAUGAAAAAAAAUCCCUAAUAUUCAUACUAGUGGCGCACCACACAAGACAUUAAUGGCGCACUGUUAUAAUCACACUAAUGGCGCAUCACCCAACAGUGCGCCAUUAGUAUGCCAAAGCACAAGGUUAAAUAUGGCCCCCUGGGAGGCAUACUAAUGGCGCAUGGUGUUCUAUACUAAUGGCGCACUGGUCGGUGCGCCAUUAGUAUACCAGAUACUAAUGGCGCACCGGUGGUGCGCCAUUAGUAAGAAAUACUAGUGGCGUGAUACUAAUGGCGCACCAGCAGUGCGCCAUUAGUGGGCAAAACUGGUGCGCCAUACUAGCCCUUUUCCUAGUAGUGUUGGGUUCAACUUGUCAACCAGCUUUGGUGCGGCUGCCCACUUUUGAAAAUCCUUGUUGAUUAUCGACCACCGGGACCGAAGAGAUCGGUCGGAGCGGUCAGUUUCACUCACGUUGCGAACAUCAAAGUGUUCCUUCAUCUGGUUCCAAUAAACAUCUCUACUUUGAUCACCUCCAACGGAUGGAUCCCUCGACACUUGCAACCAAGUAUUGCAUAGUAAGAUAUCUUCGGCGUUGGUGUAAUUGCCCGCUCUUCCUUUUGGUGCAUUGACAAUGCCCUCACCAUCCUCGUCCACCUCUAUAGCGACCAGACCUCAAACGGUCCAAUCUCUGUGCUCCGGUGUCAUCCCUGGAUCAGUAAUGCUGACACCACAUAGUACUUGAAGGAUUUAUAACAGAGUAGCAAUCACACACUUAUUACACCGAGUGUCUCAAUAGAGAACUUAUUACAAUAAAUAUGGCUUAAGGCCAUCUAAUAACGAUAACAGCGGAAGGCUUAGAAGAUAAGUGAGUCCAUCAACUCCAACGGCAUCACUGAGUAUAGAACCACGACCUAAAACUCCUUAAUCGUCGUCUGAAAAGCCUGCAACAUUAACGUUGCAGCCCGAAAACGGGUCAGCACAUGGAAUAUGCUGGCAAGGUAACACAUAGAGAGUAAUGGAAUGAAACAGCUAUACUAUAUGCAUCUUUGGCUGGUGGAAAGCUCUAUGGUUACAGUUUUGUGAAAAGCCAUUUUUUCCCUACUGCAAAGGAAUAAAUUUAUUUAACUAUCAUGGUGGUUGUUAAACAUUGAGAAUGGUUGACAGCAUUCUCAAUCCCAAUUAAACAUCAUUAAACAAACCCGUCAAACUUAAUUUUAUAGUAACAUGUUGAGAUUCACAUGAUAAUCCAAGUACUAGAUACUCAAGAUGUCCAUGACCGGGGAUAUGGCUAACCAUGAUUAGUUUAUACACUCUGCAGAGGUUUGCGCACUUUUCCCCACAAGACUCGAUCUCCUCCGUUGGAUUUCUCGCACUACAGGGUGUUUGAGAAACGGAUGACCGAGACAUAGUCUUUCAGAAGAGCUAGCACCUUACGAUCGGGUAGACCGUACCACCUACAUCCCCUACAUCUGCUAGUCUACCACUGUAAGAGUUCGCACGACUUAGUCAACUAUGCUAGAGCCCAUAAUAGCUUGUGGCUGCACACGGAAGUUUCUAGCAUGAAUAAUCUCAUGAUCCCUUUGAGCCUGGGUGGCGGUCCAAAAGAAACAGGAAAUCCUGGAAUACCCAGGUACCUCAAUCCACCCAAAUGUGUAUUUAAGUUGCCACCUUAGAUAAACCAUUGAUUUAAAAGAAAUCUCACAUCUGUCAUGGAUAUCACUCACCCAAUCCACGUCUACUAGCAUAGCAUAGCAAUAGUAAGCAAACGUAGAAGUAACUCCCAAGGUUUGAUAAUAAACAGGUAAUAGGUACUACCUCAACUACUUCCUAAACCCACAAUUUAAUUAGAUCCUAAUCAUGCAAUGUGUAGAGAUUGAUCUAAUGCAAUAAAACUGGGUAGUAGAAGGUAUGAUCAAAGUGUUACUUGCCUUGCUGAUGAUCCGGGAAACCUAGUGAUUCGAAGUAACAAGCGGCGCACUCUGGGUACUCUAUCACAAAAAAACAAGCAUACAAUAAGUACUCAACUAAUGCACAGGUAAAACUCAAAUAAGAGAUAUAACCAGAAAGUUCAACUUAAGAACUCCGGUUGGCAAAAAGAAUCAAAUCGAACGAAGCAACGAAAGACAAACGGCAAAAGAAAAAGGCUUCGAUUACUAUUCUGGAUCUAGGGCAAUUUUUACAGAACAAAAACUUGUUUAAGUUGGUUAAACGGAAAGAGGGUUUCAAGACAAAACUCCAGGCGCUUGAAUCGCCUGAUUCCGAUAAACGAGCGAAAAGUUAUACUAAAACGAAAGUCGGAUCAGAAAUCGUGAUCAGAAAUAUCGCGGAUUUAAUCCAAGAAAAAGAAAACAACGAACAGGUUAACGAACGAACGUUCGUUAACUGGAUCUAAACGACAAACACGUUCGUUAAAAUGAAUGAACGAGCGAACGCUCACUAAAUAGACUAAACCGAAAAUAAAACCGAUCUAAUAAAAAAACAAAAUCUAAAAAGAAUAAACCCUCGACUUUUAAAAAAACCGCCGGCGACGGCAGCUACCUCGGGCGGCGUGGCGGCUCCGGCGAGCGGGCGAGGCGGCNNNNNNNNNNNNNNNNNNNNNNNNNNNNNNNNNNNNNNNNNNNNNNNNNNNNNNNNNNNNNNNNNNNNNNNNNNNNNNNNNNNNNNNNNNNNNNNNNNNNNNNNNNNNNNNNNNNNNNNNNNNNNNNNNNNNNNNNNNNNNNNNNNNNNNNNNNNNNNNNNNNNNNNNNNNNNNNNNNNNNNNNNNNNNNNNNNNNNNNNNNNNNNNNNNNNNNNNNNNNNNNNNNNNNNNNNNNNNNNNNNNNNNNNNNNNNNNNNNNNNNNNNNNNNNNNNNNNNNNNNNNNNNNNNNNNNNNNNNNNNNNNNNNNNNNNNNNNNNNNNNNNNNNNNNNNNNNNNNNNNNNNNNNNNNNNNNNNNNNNNNNNNNNNNNNNNNNNNNNNNNNNNNNNNNNNNNNNNNNNNNNNNNNNNNNNNNNNNNNNNNNNNNNCGGGGCGACGGCGGCGGUGGCGGGGCGGCGGCUAAGGUUAGGGUUAGGGCGCGGGUGGGCUGGUGGGCUAGUGGGCUGCGGCGGGGCUCGGGCGGCGCUAUUUAAAGGCUGCCCCGGGCGGAGUCCCACUCGGGUACGGCCCGGAGUCGGUUCGGACUUUUUUUAAAAAAAUUAAUUCUGCGCAGAAAAACAAAUAAAAGAAAUACUAAACAGACUCCAAAAAUCCCGAAAUAAAUUUUCCCCGGCUUCUAAAAUCAAGCCGCACAGGAUGAACAUUUAUUUGGGGCCUAAAUGCAAUUUUGAAAAACGCGCAUUUUUCCUAAAUUCAAAUAAAAUAGCAAAUAAAACCAAAAAAAUAUUAUUUGCUUUUUUUAUUAAAUCCUCACUAUUUCUUUAUUUUGGGAAAGUCAUUUUAUUCCUUCUCUCAUAUUUUUGUAAUAUAAAUUAUUGAAGAUAAAAUAAAUCAAAUCAAAUGAUCCUAUUUUCAAAAUUUGAGACAACUCAAAUAUGAAAAUAACGAAAUCCCCAACUCUCUCCGAGGGUCCUUGAGUUGCGAAACAUUUCUAGGGUCGACCAAAAUGCAAUAAAUAUGAUAUACAAUGAUGAUCUAGUGUAUAACAUUCCAAAUUGAAAUUUUGGGAUGUUACAAACCUACCCCCCUUAAGAUGAAUCUCGCCCUCAAGAUUCGGGUUGGCUAGAAAAUAGGUGAGGGUGGUCCUUCAGCAAAUCUUCCUCUCGUUCCCAAGUGGCUUCAUCCUCCAUGUGGUGGCUCCACUGAACUUUGCAAAAAUUGAUAACCUUGCUGCGGUUGACUCGACUGGCAUACUCUAGAAUCUUAACUGGUUUCUCCUCAUAGGUCAAAUCACUGUCCAACUGAAUUGCUUCCAGUGGUACCGUAUCCCUCAGCGGUAUGUCAGUCAUCCCUGCGUGGCACUUCUUCAACUGGGAUACAUGAAACACGUCGUGAACUCCUGAUAGUCCUUCGGGUAAUUCCAACUUGUAGGCUACUUCUCCCAUACGUUCCAACACUUUGUAUGGGCCUACAAAACGUGGCGCUAGUUUUCCCUUAACUCCAAAGCGCUUAACUCCUCGAAGUGGUGAUACUCGAAGAUAAACUCGGCCUCCGACUUCGUAACAUGUCUCCUUGCGUUUAGAGUCUGCAUAACUCUUCUGCCUGGAUUGAGCUACCUUUAGUCUGUCACGAAUUAAUUUCACUUUUUGUUCAGAUUCCUUUAUCAGAUCCGGUCCAAACAACGGGCGAUCUCCAACUUCAUCCCAGGACAAUGGGGUCCUGCACCUCCUUCUGUACAAGGCUUCGAAAGGGGCCAUCUUCAAACUGGAUUGGUAGAUGUUGUUGUAAGAGAACUCUGCAUAUGGCAAAUUCUCAUCCCAACUAGAUCCGUAAUCUAGCGCACAAGCUCUUAGCAUAUCCUCCAAGAUCCGGUUGACUCUCUCAGUCUGUCCAUCUGUCUGCGGGUGGAAAGCUGUGCUAAACUCUAGUCUGGUUCCCAAAGUCUCAUGCAAUUGAUUCCAGAACUUUGAAGUAAACUGGGUUCCUCUAACUGAUACAAUGCUCCUCGAAACUCCAUACCGACAUAUGAUCCUGGUCAUGUAUAUCUUUGCCAACUUUGCACUGGUAUAGGUAGUCUUCACUGGAAUGAAAUGAGCUACCUUUGUCAAAUGAUCGACUACAACCCAUAUCGAGUCAUAGCCUGAACGUGUUGUAGGCAAUCCUGUAAUAAAAUCCAUGCCUAGCUUAUCCCACUUCCAUUCGGGUAUCGGCAAUGGUUGUAGCAAUCCUGCUGGCUUCUGAUGCUCUGCCUUCACUCUCUGACAUACAUCACAAACUGCUACAUAUUCCGCAAUAUUCUUCUUCAUUCCGGUCCACCAGAAAAUAUCCUUCAAAUCCAAAUACAUCUUGGUAUUUCCUGGGUGAAUCGAAUAUGGUGAAUCAUGGGCCUCUUGCAGAAUUAGCUUUCUAAUCUCCGGAUCAUUUGGUACAUAGACGCGGUCUCCAAACCAUAGGGUAUCGUGUCCAUCCUCACGAAAUCCCUUAGCUUUUCCUUUGCUAAUUUUCUCCUUAAUAGAAGCAAUCUCCUUGUCAGUCCUUUGGGCUUCUCUGAGUUUAUCCAUCAAUGUAGGCUGAAUCUCCAAUGCUGCUACAUAGCCUCUCGGGACUAUUUCUAAACAUAACUCUUGAAGAUUUUUGGCUAACUCCCUUGGUAAUUCUCCCGUCAUUAGGGUGUUGACAUGGCUCUUACGGCUUAAUGCGUCAGCUACUACAUUAGCCUUUCCGGGGUGAUAAUGCAAUUUCAUAUCAUAAUCCUUGAUGAGCUCCAACCAUCUCCUUUGUCUGAGAUUCAACUCCUUCUGUGUGAAAAUAUACUUCAAACUCUUAUGAUCCGUAUACACCUCGCAAUGGUUUCCAAUCAGAAAAUGUCUCCAAGUCUUCAGUGCAUGCACUACGGCUGCUAACUCCAAAUCAUGCGUAGCAUAAUUCAACUCAUGAGGCUUAAGCUGUCGUGAGGCAUAUGAAACAACUUUCCCUUCCUGCAUAAGCACUGCUCCAAGUCCUCGACGUGAAGCGUCGCAAUACACCUCAUAAUCCUUGGUCUGGUCUAGCAAAAUCAACACUGGUGAAGUAACCAAGCGUUUCUUCAACUCCUGAAAACUAGCCUCAGAUUCCUCCGUCCAUAUGAACUUGGUAUCCUUUUUCAACAACUCCGUCAUAGGCUUCGCAAUCUUUGAGAAAUUCUCAAUAAACCUCCGGUAGUAUCCUGCCAGUCCAAGAAAACUCCGAUCUCUCCCACGGUGAUUGGUGCUUCCCACUUGGUCACGGUAUCAACUUUAGUGGGAUCUACUGCUAUACCUUCUCCGGAUAUAACGUGUCCGAGAAAUCCAACUUCCUUCAACCAAAACUCACAUUUGAUAAACUUGGCAUAUAAUUGGUGUUCUCUGAGCUUUCCAAGAACCAAACGCAAAUGUUCCUUAUGCUCCUCUUCAUUCUUCGAGUAAACCAGGAUAUCAUCAAUGAACACUACGACGAACUUAUGCAAGAACUCCAUAAACACCUUGUUCAUCAUGUUCAUAAAAUAUGCAGGUGCGUUAGUCAGACCAAAUGACAUAACGGUAUACUCAUACAGCCCAUACCUGGUGGUAAAAGCCGUCUUGGGUAUAUCAUGUUCCCGAAUCUUCAACUGGUGGUAUCCUGAUCGCAGAUCGAUCUUGGAAAAUACCUUAGCUCCUUGCAAUCGAUCAAACAGAUCAUUGAUCAUCGGUAGUGGGUACUUAUUCUUGAUGGUUACUUCAUUCAAUCCUCGAUAAUCGACAACCAUCCUUAACGAUCCAUCCUUCUUCCCCACUAGAAGUACUGGCGAUCCCCCAAGGUGAAGAACUUGGGCGAAUAUAACCUUUAUCCAGUAACUCCUUAAUUUGCUUCUUAAUUUCCACCAAAUCCUUUGCAGGCAUCCUAUAUGGUCUCUUUGACAUUGGCCCUGUGCCUAGCAAUAGCUCAAUCAAAAACUCAAUAUCUCUAUCCGGUGGCAUGCCUGGCAACUCUUCUAGAAAUACUUCAGGGAAAUCCUUUACUACUGGUACUGCCUCCUGCACAACUCCUGUUAAGCAAUUUACUUGAGUCCUCUUUGGCACAUGUCGGGAUACAUACUUGAUCCUUCUUCCUUCUGGGGUGGUAAGCAAAAUUGACUUACUAGCACAUUCAAUAUUCCCUUCAUACUUUGAUAACCAAUCCAUGCCUAAUAUCACAUCCAAUCCUUGGGAUUCCAAUACUAUUAGGUCUGAGGGGAAAACAUAGUUACCAAUCCUUAAUGGUAACCAAUCACACCAUAGACUAGCCGUAUAUUCUUCUCCAGGCGAGGCUACUAACAUGGGUGACCUAAGGGCUUGGGUUGCCAGUUUAUACUUAUCCACAAAUCCCCUGGAUAUGUAUGAAUGCGAUGCACCAGUAUCGAAAAGAACGAGAGCAGUAAAUGACUUAACCAAAAACUUACCGAUUACUGCAUCCGGUUGUUCUUCAACCUCCUCCACACUAACGUGGUUCACCUGUCCCUUGUUGAAAGGGUUCGGCUUCUUCCCAGAGCUUCCAUUGCCAUUUCCAUUUUGUGAUUCAGGACAUUCAUUGGCAUAAUGUCCGGUCUUCUAGCACUUAAAGCAAGUGACUUGACUCAGGUCUUUCUUGGCUGGGUUUGAUGGGUUGGUACGGUUCUGGUCGUUGCUUCCUGAAGGAAAUAUGCCCUAGAGGCAAUAAUAAAGUUAUUAUUUAUGUCCUUAUUUCAUGAUAAAUGUUUAUUAUUCAUGCUAGAAUUGUAUUAACUGGAAACAUAAUACAUGUGUGAAUACAUAGACAAACAGAGUGUCACUAGUAUGCCUCUACUUGACUAGCUCGUUAAUCAAAGAUAGUUAUGUUUCCUAACCAUAGACAAACAGUUGUUAUUUGAUUAACGGGAUCACAUCAUUAGGAGUUGUUAUUUUACUAACUUGACCCAUUCUGUUAGCUUAGCACUCGAUCGUUUAGUAUGUUGCUAUUGCUUUCUUCAUGACUUAUACAUGUUCCUAUGACUAUGAGAUUAUGCAACUCCCGAUUACCGGAGGAACACUUUGUGCGCUACCAAAUGUCACAACGUAACUGGGUGAUUAUAAAGGAGCUCUACAGGUGUCUCCAAAGGUACAUGUUGGGUUGGCGUAUUUCGAGAUUAGGAUUUGUCACUCCGAUUGUCGGAGAGGUAUCUCUGGGCCCUCUCGGCAAUGCACAUCACAUAAGCCUUGCAAGCAUUGUAACUAAUGAGUUAGUUGCGAGAUGACGUAUUACGAAACGAGUAAAGAGACUUGCCGGUAACAAGAUUGAACUAGGUAUUAAGAUACCAACGAUCGAAUCUCGGGCAAGUAACAUACCAAUGACAAAGGGAACAAUGUAUGUUGUUAUGCGGUCUGACUGAUAAAGAUCUUCGUAGAAUAUGUAGGAGCCAAUAUGAGCAUCCAGGUUUCGCUAUUGGUUAUUGACCGGAGGCAUGUCUCGGUCAUGUCUACAUUGUUCUCGAACCCGUAGGGUCCGCACGCUUAAGGUUUCGAUGACAGUUAUAUUAUGAGUUUAUGAGUUUUGAUGUACCGAAGGAGUUCGGAGUCUCGGAUGAGAUCGGGGACAUGACGAGGAGUCUCGAAAUGGUCGAGACGUAAAGAUCGAUAUAUUGGAUGACUAUAUUCGGACAUCGGAAAGGUUCCGAGUGGUUCGGGUAUUUUUCGGAGUACUAGGGAGUUACGGGAAUACGGGGGAUGAAGUAUAUGGGCCUUAUUGGGCUUUAGAGGAGAGGGAGAGGCAGGCCGCGCGCCCCCCCCAUUGACUAGUCCGAAUUGGACUAGGGGGGGGGUGGCUCCCCCUCCUUCCUUCUCUUCCCUCUUCCCCUUCCUUAUCUCCUAAUCCUACUACUUGGAAGAACUCCUAGUUGUACUAGGAAAGGGGGAAUCCUACUCCCGGUGGGAGUAGGACUCCCCUAGGGCGCGCCAUAGAGAGGGCUGGCCCUCCCAUCCUCCACUCCUUUAUAUAAGGGGACAGGGGGCACCCCAAAGACACACAAGUUGAUCUUCGUGAUCAUUCUCUUAGCCGUGUACGGUGCCCCCCCUUCACCAUAAUCCUUGAUAAUACUGUAGAGGUGCUUAGGCGAAGCCCUACGGCGGUAGAACAUCAAGAUCGUCACCACGCCGUCGUGCUGACGGAACUCUUCCCCGACACUUUGCUGGAUCGGAGUCCGGGGAUCGUCAUCGAGCUGAACGUGUGCAAGAACUCGGAGGUGUCGUAGUUUCGGUGCUUGAUCAGUCGGGCCGUGAAGACGUACGACUACAUCAACCGUGUUGGCAUAACGCUUCCGCUGUCGGUCUACGAGGGUACGUAGAUUACACUCUCCCCUCUUGUUGCUAUGCAUCACCAUGAUCUUGCGUGUGCAUAGGGGAAUUUUUGAAAUUACUACGUUCUCCAACAGUGGUAUCAGAGCCUAGGUUUUAUGUGUUGAUGUUAUAUGCACGAGUAGAACACAAGUGAGUUGUGGGCGAUAUAAGUCAUACUGCUUACUACCAUGUCAUACUUUGGUUCGGCGGUAUUGUUGGAUGAAGCGGCCCAGACCGACAUUACGCGUACGCUUACGCGAGACUGGUUCUACCGACGUGCUUUGCACACAGGUGGCUGGCGGGUGUGAGUUUCUCCAACUUUAGUUGAACCGAGUGUGGCUACGCCCGGUCCUUGCGAAGGUUAAAACAACACCAACUUGACAAAUCGUUGUGGUUUUGAUACGUAGGUAAGAUUGGUUCUUGCUAAGCCCGUAGCAGCCACGUAAAAUUUGCAACAACAAAGUAGAGGACAUCUAACUUGUUUUUGCAGGGCAUGUUGUGAUGUGAUAUGGUCAAGACGUGAUGAGAUAUAAGUUCUUGUAUGAGAUGAUCAUGUUUUGUUGAAUUUAUCGGCAACUGGCAGAAGCCUUAUGGUUGUCUUUUUAUUGCAUAAGAUGCAAGCGCCAAAUAAUUGCUUUACUUUAUCGCUGUGCGAUAGCAAUAGUUGCAAGAGCAAUAGUUGGCGAGACGACCAUGUGACGACACAUUGAUAUAGAUCAAGAUGAUGGAGAUCAUGGUGUCAUGCCAGUGACGAUAGAGAUCAUGACGGUACUUUGGAGAUGGAGAACAAAGGCGCAAGAUGAUUAUGACCAUAUCAUGUCACAUAUAUUGAUUGCAUGUGAUGUUUAUCUUUUAUGCAUCUUAUCUUGCUUUGAUUGACGGUAGCUUUAUAAGAUGAUCUCUCACUAAAUUAUCAAGGUAUAAGUGUUCUCCCUGAGUAUGCACCAUUGCGAAAGUUCUUCGUGCUGAGACACCACGUGAUGAUCGGGUGUGAUAGGCUCUACGUUCAAAUACAACGGGUGCAAAACAGUUGCGCACGCGGAAUACUCAGGUUAAACUUGACGAGCCUAGCAUAUACAGAUAUGGCCUCGGAACACUGGAGAUCGAAAGGUCCAGCGUGAAUCAUAUAGUAGAUAUGAUCAACAUAGUGAUGUUCACCAUUGAAAACUACUCCAUCUCACGUGAUGAUCGGACAUGGUUUAGUUGAUUUGGAUCACGUGAUCACUCAGAUGAUUAGAGGGAUGUCUAUCUAAGUGGGAGUUCUUAAGUAAUAUGAUUAAUUGAACUUAAAUUUAUUAUGAACUUAGUCCUAGUAGUAUUUUGCAAAUUAUGUUGUAGAUCAAUAGCUCGCGUUGUUGCUUUCAUAUGUUUAUUUUGAUAUGUUCCUAGAGAAAAUUGUGUUGAAAGAUGUUAGUAGCAAUGAUGCGGAUUGGAUCCGUGAUCUGAGGUUUAUCCUCAUUGCUGCAUAAAAGAAUUAUGUCCUUGAUGCACCGCUAGGUGACAUACCUAUUGCAGGAGCAGAUGCAGACGUUAUGAACAUUUGGCUAGCUCAAUAUGAUGACUACUUGAUAGUUUAGUGCACCAUGCUUAACGGCUUAGAAUCGGGACUUCAAAGACAUUUUGAACGUCGAGGACCAUAUGAGAUGUUCCAGGAGUUGAAGUUAAUAUUUCAAGCAAAUACCCGAGUUGAGAGAUAUGAAGUCUCCAACAAGUUCUGUAGAUAAAAGAUGGAGGAGAAUCGCUCAACUAGUGAGCAUGUGCUUAGAUUGUCUGGGUACUACAAUCGCUUGAAUCAAGUGGGAGUUAAUCUUCCAGAUAAAAUAGUGAUUGACAGAAUUCUCUAGUCACCAUCACCAAGUUAGUAGAACUUCGUGAUGAACUAUGAUAUGCAAGGGAUAACAGAAACGAUUCCCAAGCUCUUUGUAAUGCUGAAAUUGACGAAGGUAGAAAUCGAGAAAAACAUCAAGUGUUGAUGGUAGACAACACCACUAGUUUCAAGAAAAGGGAAAAGGGAAAAAGGGGAACUUCAAGAAGAACAUCAAGCAAGUUGCUGCUCAAGUGAAGAAGCCCAAGUCUGGUCCUAAGCCUGAGACUAAGUGAUUCUACUGCAAAGGGACUUGUCACUGGAAGCGGAACUACCCCAAGUGAUUGGCGGAUAAGAAGGAUGGCAAAGUGAACAUAAGUAUAUUUGAUAUACAUGUUAUUAAUGUGUACUUUACUAGUGUUUAUAGCAACCCCUCAGUAUUUGAUACUAGUUCAGUUGCUAAGGUUAGUAACUCGAAAUGGGAGUUGCAGAAUAAAUAGAGACUAGUUUAGGGUGAAGUGACGAUGUGUGUUGGAAGUGGUUCCAAGAUUGGUAUGAUCAUCAUCGCACACUCCCUAUACUUUUGGUAUUAGUGUUGAAACUAAAUAUGUGUUAUUUGGUGUUUGCGUUGAGCAUAAAUAUGAUUGGAUCAUGUUUAUUGCAAUACAGUUAUUCAUGUAAGUUAGAGAAUAAUUGUUGUUCUGUUUACAUGAAUAAAACCUUCUAUGGUCAUACACCCAAUGAAAAUGGUUUGUUGGAUCUCGAUCGUGGUGAUACACAUAUUCAUAAUAUUGAAGCCAAAAGAUGCAAAGUUAAUAAUGAUAGUGCAACUUAUUUGUGGCACUGCCGUUUAGGUCAUAUUGGUGUAAAGCGCAUGAAGAAACUCCAUGCUGAUGGGUUUUUGGAAUCACUUGAUUAUGAAUCAGUUGAUGCUUGCGAACCAUGCCUCAUGGGCAAGAUGAUUAAGACUCCGUUCUCCGGAACAAUGGAGCGAGCAACAGAUUUGUUGGAAAUCAUACAUACUGAUGUAUGUGGUCCGAUGAAUGUUGAAGCUCACGGCGGGUAUCGUUAUUUUCUGACCUUCACAGAUGAUUUGAGCAGAUAUGGGUAUAUCUACUUGAUGAAACAUAAGUCUGAAACAUUUGAAAAGUUCAAAUAAUUUCAGGGUGAAGUGGAAACUCAUCGUGACAAGAAAAUAAGGUUUCUACGAUCUGAUCGCGGAGACAAAUAUUUUAGUUAUGAGUUUGGUCUUCAAUUAAAACAAUGUGGAAUAGUUUCACAAACUCAUGCCACCUGGAACACCACAGCAUAAUGCUGUGUCCGAAUGUCAUAACCGUACUUUAUUGGAUAUAGUGCAAUCUAUGAUGUUUCUUACCAAUUUACCAAUAUUGUUUUGGGAUUAUGCAUUAGAGACAACUGCAUUCACAUUAAAUAGGGCACCAUCUAAAUCUGUUGAGACGACACUAUAUGAACUAUGGUUUAGCAAGAAACCAAAGUUGUCGUUUCUUAAAGUUUGGGGUUGUGAUGCUUAUGUGAAAAAGUUUCAUCCUGAUAAGCUCAAACCCAAAUCAGAGAAAUGCGUCUUCAUAGGAUACCCAAAGGAGACAGUUGGGUACACCUUCUAUCACAGAUCCGAAGGCAAGAUAUUCGUUGCUUAGAAUGGAUCCUUUCUAGAGAAGGAGUUUCUCUCAAAAGAAGUGAGUGGGAGGAAAGUAGAACUUGAUGAAGUAACUGUACCCGCUCCCUUAUUGGAAAGUAGUUCAUCACAGAAAUAUGUUCCUGUGACUACUACACCAAUUAGUGAGGAAGCUAAUGAUGAUGAUCAUGUAACUUCAGAUCAAGUUGCUACCGAACCUCGUAGGUAAACCAGAGUGAGAUCCGCACCAGAGUGGUACAGUAAUCCUAUUCUGGAGGUCAUGUUACUUGACCAUGACGAGCCCACGAACUAUGAGGAAGCGAUGAUGAGCCCAGAUCCCGCGAAAUGGCUUGAGGCCAUGAAAUCUGAGAUGAGAUCCAUGUAUGAGAACAAAGUAUGGACUUUGAUUGACUUGCCCAUUGAUAGGUGAGCCAUUAAGAUUAAAUGGAUUUUCAAGAGGAAGAUGGACGCUGAUAGUAGUGUUACUAUCUACAAAGCUAGAAUUGUCGCAAAAAGGUUUUUCGACAAAUUCAAGGUGUUGACUACGAUGAGAGUUUCUCACUCGUAACUAUGCUUAAGUCUGUCCGAAUCAUGUUAGAAAUUGCCACAUUUUAUGAAAUCUGGCAAAUGGAUAAACAAAACUGCAUUCCUUAAUGGAUUUAUUAAAGAAGAGUUGUAUAUGAUGCAACCGGGAGGUUUUGUCAAUCCUAAAGGUACUAACAAAAUAUGCAAGCUCCAGCGAUCCAUCUAUGGACUGGUGCAAGCAUCUCGGAGUUGGAAUAUACGCUUUGAUAAGUUGAUCAAAGCAUAUAGUUUUAUACAGACUUACGUUGAAGCCUGUAUUUACAAGAAAGUGAGUGGGAGCACUACAGCACUUCUGAUAAGUAUAUGUGAAUAACAUAUUGUUGAUCGGAGAUAAUGUAGAAUUAUUCUGCAAAGCAUAAAGGAGUGUUUGAAAGGAGUUUUUCAAAGAAAGACCUCGGUGAAGCUGCUUACAUAUUGAGCAUCAAGAUCUAUAGAGAUAGAUCAAGACGCUUGAUAAGUUUUUUCAAUGAGUACAUACCUUGACAAGAUUUUGAAGUAGUUCAAAAUGGAACAGUCAAAGAAAGAGUUAUUGCCUGUGUUACAAGGUGUGAAAUAGAGUAAGACUCAAAGCCCGACCACGGCAGAAGAUAGAAAGAGAAUGAAAGUCAUUCCCUAUGCCUCAGCCAUAGGUUCUAUAAAGUAUGACAUGCUAUGUACCAGAUCUAUUGUAUACCCUACACUGAUUUUGGCAAGGGAGUACAAUAGCGAUCUAGGAGUAGUCACUAGACAUCGGUCAAAAUUAUCCUUAGUGGAAUAAGGAUAUGUUUCUCGAUUAUGGAGGUGACAAAAGGUUCGUCGUAAAAGGAUUACGUUGAUACAAGUUUUUGGCACUGAUCUGGAUGGCUCUAAGUCUUCAUCUGGAUACAUAUUGAAAGUGGGAGCAAUUGGUUAAAGUAGAUCCAUGCAGAGCAUUGUAGACAUAGAAAUUUGCAAAAUACAUACGGAUCUGAAUUUUGGCAGACUCGUUGACUAAGCUUCUCUCACAAGCAAAACAUGAUCACACCUUAGUACUCUUUGGGUGUUAAUCACAUAUAGAUGUGAACUAGAUUAUUGACUCUAGUAAACCCUUUGAGUGUUGGUCACAUAAUGAUGUGAACUAUUGGUGUUAAAUCACAUGGCAAUGUGAACUAGAUUAUUGACUCUAGUGCAAGUGGGAGACUGAAGGAAAUAUGCCCUAGAGGCAAUAAUAAAGUUAUUAUUUAUUUCCUUAUUUCAUGAUAAAUGUUUAUUAUUCAUGCUAGAAUUGUAUUAACCGGAAACAUAAUACAUGUGUGAAUACAUAGACAAACAGAGUGUCACUAGUAUGCCUCUACUUGACUAGCUCGUUAAUCAAAGAUGGUUAUGUUUCCUAACCAUAGACAAAGAGUUGUUAUUUGAUUAACGGGAUCACAUCACUAGGAGAAUGAUCUGAUUGACAUGACCCAUUUCAUUAGCUUAGCACCCGAUCAUUUAGUAUGUUGCUAUUGCUUUCUUCAUGACUUAUACAUGUUCUUAUGACUAUGAGAUUAUGCAACUCCCGUUUACCGGAGGAACACUUUGUGUGCUACCAAACGUCACAAUGUAACUGGGUGAUUAUGAAGGAGCUCUACAGGUGUCUCCAAAGGUACAUGUUGGGUUGGCGUAUUUCGAGAUUAGGAUUUGUCAUUCUGAUUGUCGGAGAGGUAUCUUUGGUCCCUCUCGGUAAUGCACAUCACAUAAGCCUUGCAAGCAUUGCAACUAAUGAGUUAGUUGCGAGAUGAUGUAUUACGGAACGAGUAAAGAGACUUGCCGGUAACGAGAUUGAACUAGGUACUAAGAUACCGACGAUCGAAUCUCGGGCAAGUAAGAUACCGAUGACAAAGGGAACAACGUAUGUUGUUAUGCGGUCUGACCGAUAAAGAUCUUCGUAGAAUAUGUAGGAGACAAUAUGAGCAUCCAGGUUCCUCUAUUGGUUAUUGACCGGAGACAUGUCUCAGUCAUGUCUACAUUGUUCUCGAACCCAUAGGGUCCGCACGCUUAAGGUUUCGAUGACAGUUAUAUUAUGAGUUUAUGAGUUUUGAUGUACCGAAGGAGUUCGGAGUCCCGGAUGAGAUCGGGGACAUGACAAGGAGUCUCGAAAUGGUCGAGACAUAAAGGUCGAUAUAUUGGAUGACUAUAUUCGGACAUCAGAAAGGUUUUGAGUGGUUCGGGUAUUUUUCGGAGUAUCGGGGAGUUACGGGAAUACGGGGGAAGAAGUAUAUGGGCCUUAUUGGGCUUUAGGGGAGAGGGAGAGGCAGCCCCCCCCCCCCAUUGACUAGUACGAAUUGGACUAGGGGGAGGGGCGGCGCCCCCUCCUUCCUUCUCUUCCCUCUUCCCCUUCCUUGUCUCCUAAUCCUACUACUUGGAAGAACUCCUAGUUGUACUAGGAAAGGGGGAAUCCUACUCCCGGUGGGAGUAGGACUCCCCUAGGGCGCGCCAUAGAGAGGGCCGGCCCUCCCCUCCUCCACUCCUUUAUAUACGGGGACAGGGGGCACCCCAAAGACACACAGGUUGAUCUUCGCGAUCGUUCUCUUAGACGUGUACGGUGCCCCCCUCCACCAUAAUCCUCGAUAAUAUUGUAGCGGUGCUUAGGCGAAGCCCUGCGACGGUAGAACAUCAAGAUCGUCACCAUGUCGUCGUGCUUACGGAACUCUUCCCCGACACUUUGCUGGAUCGGAGUCCGGGAUCGUCAUCGAGCUGAACGUGUGCAAGAACUCGGAGGUGUCGUAGUUUCGGUGCUUGAUCGGUCGGGCCAUGAAGACGUACGACUACAUCAACCGCGUUGUCAUAACGCUUCCGCUGUCGGUCUAUGAGGGUACGUAGAUUACACUCUCCCCUCUUGUUGCUAUGCAUCACCAUGAUCUUGCGUGUGCGUAGGGAAAUUUUUGAAAUUACUACAUUCUCCAACACUUCCUCCAUUACCAUUACCAUUCCUGGGGCCAUUGUGAUUGUGUGAGCUACCUCCUCCAUGUGUAUGCUGAAAAUGUCCUCCCGGUCUAGGGGUAAAUCGUGGCUUCUGCUGAGCUCCUGAAUUGUACUUUCCUUGUCCAUACUUCCUCUUGCGAUUCUCAAUUUGCUGCUGCUUCCCUUCAAUCAUAAGAGCACGAUCUACCAACUCCUGGUAGUUGUUGAAGGUUGCUACCAUCAACUGCAUGCUCAACUCAUCAUUCAGUCCUUCCAGAAACUUCUCCUGCUUAGCUGCAUCCGUAGCAACGUCAUCUAGGGCAUAACGUGCUAAUUUACUAAAGUCCUCCACAUACUGGCCAACUGUCCGUCCUCCUUGGCGCAAGUUGCGAAACUCUCGCUUCUUCAUGGCCAUAGCUCCUGCUGAAACAUGGGCAGUUCGAAAAGCCUGCUGAAACUAGUCCCAUGUGACAGUGUCGACAGGGAAAGUGGCUGUGAAAUUCUCCCACCAUGAUGUUGCGGGUCCUUCAAGAUGAUGUGCGGCAAACUUCACCUUCUCCGCAUCCGUGCAUCCUGCUGUGGUCAACUCUCUAGCUGUCUUGUGGAGCCAAUCAUCUGCUACUAUCGGCUCGGUGCUACUGGAAAACACCGGCGGAUUCAGCCUAAGAAAACGGGCUAAGUGAUCAACAGGUGGUGGUGGUGGUGGGUUGUUGUUGUUGUUCCCCUGAUUUUGAUUCUGGACUAGCAACUGCAUCAAUGUGUUCUCCUGCUAGAUCAACUGAGUGAGCUCCGGUGGAAAGGUAAAUCCGGGGUCACGUCUCGGAGGCAUCUGAGGGUUUAGAAAAGAUGAGAUUUAAGAAUAGAGGGGGUAUAAAGAGAAAACACUACCCAUAUGCACAUGAGGUAAAAGCAAACAGUUCACUUCAUUCAAUCAAACAAGGGCAUACAAUCGAUCUAACUAUCGCAAAAGUGCUCGGACUAUUGUAUUUACAUGGUGGACUACUACUACUGAUGAGGUGGUCUACUAGAAAUAUUCUUCGGUUGCAGACUCCAUGAUAUCUGCUCCGACUUCAUCAACAUAGUCAUCAUCGCUAUCAUCUGGAUCUGAGUCGGUGUCGUCGAUGAUGAUGUAGUCUUCCGGGUGAAUCUCCUUGGGUUCUUCGUCUUCAUCUACUGGUGUAGGGCCUCCCAUAAAUAUCCCGAUCUUCAUUGUUAGGUCGGCAUUCUUAUCCACUAAUACUUCAAUUUCUUCUUCAAAAUCUUCACGUGUAGCCUUGAGUUCUUCCUCCAGUUCCUUGAUUCUUGUCCUUGCCUUCUUCAGGUCUAUCAUGUCGGCGCACAUCUGGUUCUCCUGACGUCGAAUGUGCUGGUUUAAUUCCUGGAUAAAAGCUGCAAUUGAUCUAUCCUUUCUGGUGUUGAUCAUCUCCCAGUGCUCAUCUCGGCGCCCACAAAUCUGGUAGAUAGUAUCCUUGAGAUCAUUGCGGUAGACUUCUCCAAUGCGUCCCAUGGCGAUGUGAGCUGCCAUGCUCUUUCCUAGACUCCAAGUUGGUGCAUCAAAAGAAAACUCUAUGGGCUCAGUGACUGGCAUGAACGUCCUUCCUCGAACUUGAACUUGAAUCAUCCAGGGCUCUUCUUCAGGUAAAGUGGCAUUGUAGGUUCCGGUGAAGCUUGGUACUCCUAUGUUUAGAUAUCUAAUGACUUCCUUCAAGUGACGUCCAAAGAGUGUAUCUUCAUCCAGUUGCGUGAACUUGUUCCUUGCAUCCGCCAUCCCAAAGAGUAGAAAAGAUGAGAGGUCAGAAGAGAAGAGAGUGAGUAGUGAUCUAGGUCUUUAGCUUAGUGGUCGUGUCCUACAGUCAGCGUGUGCUUUGAUACCAUCUUGUAGCGACCAGACCUCAAACGGUCCAAUCUCUGUGCUCCGGUGUCAUCCCUGGAUCAGUAAUGCUGACACCACAUAGUACUUGAAGAAUUUAUAAUAGAGUAGCAAUCACACACUUAUUACAUCGAGUGUCUCAAUAGAGAACUUAUUACAAUAAAUAUGGCUUAAGGCCAUCUAAUAAUGAUAACAGCGGAAGGCUUAGAAGAUAAGUGAGUCCAUCAACUCCAACGGCAUCACUGAGUAUAGAACCACGACCUAAAACUCCUUAAUCGUCGUCUGAAAAGCCUGCAACAUUAACGUUGCAGCCCGAAAACGGGUCAGCACAUGGAAUAUGCUGGCAAGGUAACACAUAGAGAGUAGUGGAAUGAAACAACUAUAUUAUAUGCAUAUUUGGCUGGUGGAAAGCUCUAUGGUUACAGUUUUGCAAAAAGCCAAUUUUUCCCUACUACAAAGGAAUAAAUUUAUUUAACUAUCAUGGUGGUUGUUAAACAUUGAGAAUGGUUGACAGCAUUCUCAAUCCCAAUUAAACAUCAUUAAACAAACCCGUCAAACUUAAUUUUAUAGUAACAUGUUGAGAUUCACAUGAUAAUCCAAGUACUAGAUACUCAAGAUGUCCAUGACUAGGGACACGGCUAACCAUGAUUAGUUUAUACACUCUGCAGAGGUUUGCGCACUUUUCCCCACAAGACUCGAUCUCCUCCGUUGGAUUUCUCGCACUACAGGGUGUUUGAGAAACGGAUGACCGAGACAUAGUCUUUUAGAAGCGCUAGCACCUUACGAUCGGGUAGAUCGUACCACCUACAUCCCCUACAUCUGCUAGUCUACCACUGUAAGAGUUCGCACGACUUAGUCAACUAUGUUAGAGCCCAUAAUAGCUUGUGGCUGCACACGGAAGCUUCUAGCAUGAAUAAUCUCAUGAUCUCUUUGAGCCUGGGUGGCGGUCCAAAAGAAAACAGGCAAUCCUGGAAUACCCAGGUACCUCAAUCCACCCAGAUGUGUAUUUAAGUUUCCACCUUAGAUAAACCAUUGAUUUAAAAGAAAUCUCACAUCUGUCAUGGAUAUCACUCACCCAAUCCACGUCUACUAGCAUAGCAUAGCAAUAGUAAGCAAAUGUAGAAGUAACUCCCAAGGUUUGAUAAUAAACAGGUAAUAGGUACUACCUCAACUACAUCCCAAACCCACAAUUUAAUUAGAUCCUAAUCAUGCAAUGUGUAGAGAUUGAUCUAAUGCAAUAAAACUGGGUAGUAAAAGGUAUGAUCAAAGUGUUACUUGCCUUGCUGAUGAUCCGGGAAACCUAGUGAUUCGAAGUAACAAGCGGCACACUCCGGGUACUCUAUCGCAAACAAACAAGCAUACAAUAAGUACUCAAAUAAUGCACAUGUAAAACUUAAAUAAGAGAUCUAACUAGAAAGUUCAACUUAACAACUCCGGUUGGCAAAAAGAAUCAAAUCAAACGAAGCAAUGAAAGACAAACGGCAAAAGAAAAAGGCUUUGAUUACUAUUCUGGACCUAGGGCAAUUUUUACAGAAACAAAAACUUGUUUAAGUUGGUUUAACGGAAAUAGGGUUUCGAGACGAAACUCCAGGCGCUUGAAUCGCCUGAUUCCGAUAAACGAGUGAAAAGUUAUACUAAAACGAAAGUCGGAUCAGAAAUCGCGAUCAGAAAAAUCGCAAAUUUAAUCCGAGAAAAAGAAAACGACGAACAGUUUAACGAACGAAUGUUCGUUAACUGGAUCUAAACGACGAACACGUUCGUUAAAACGAACGAACGAGCAAACGCUCACUAAAUAGACUAAACCGAAAAUAAAACCGAUCUAAUAAAAAAACAAAAUCUAAAAAGAACCGCGGCUUUUAAAAAAAUCAGGCGGUUUUCUAAAAAAACCCGGCAACGGCGGCUACCUCGGGCGGCGGGGCGGCUCCGGCGAGCGGGCNNNNNNNNNNNNNNNNNNNNNNNNNNNNNNNNNNNNNNNNNNNNNNNNNNNNNNNNNNNNNNNNNNNNNNNNNNNNNNNNNNNNNNNNNNNNNNNNNNNNNNNNNNNNNNNNNNNNNNNNNNNNNNNNNNNNNNNNNNNNNNNNNNNNNNNNNNNNNNNNNNNNNNNNNNNNNNNNNNNNNNNNNNNNNNNNNNNNNNNNNNNNNNNNNNNNNNNNNNNNNNNNNNNNNNNNNNNNNNNNNNNNNNNNNNNNNNNNNNNNNNNNNNNNNNNNNNNNNNNNNNNNNNNNNNNNNNNNNNNNNNNNNNNNNNNNNNNNNNNNNNNNNNNNNNNNNNNNNNNNNNNNNNNNNNNNNNNNNNNNNNNNNNNNNNNNNNNNNNNNNNNNNNNNNNNNNNNNNNNNNNNNNNNNNNNNNNNNNNNNNNNNNNNNNNNNNNNNNNNNNNNNNNNNNNNNNNNNNNNNNNNNNNNNNNNNNNNNNNNNNNNNNNNNNNNNNNNNNGGUUAGGGCGCGGGUGGGCUGGUGGGCUGCGGCGGGGCUCGGGCGGCGCUAUUUAAAGGCUGCCCCGGGCGGAGUCCCGCUCGGGUACGGCCCGGAGUCAGUUCGGACUCUUUUUUUUGAAAUUAAUUCCGCACAGAAAACAAAUAAUAGAAAUACAAAACGGACUCCAAAAAUCCUGAAAUAAAUUUCCCCGGCUUCUAAAAUCAGGCCGCACAGGAUGAACAUUUAUUUGGGGCCUAAAUGCAAUUUUGAAAAACACGUAUUUUUCCUAAAUUCAAAUAAAAUAGCAAAUAAAACCAAAAAAUCUUAUUUGAUUUUUUAUUAAAUCCUCAAUAUUUCCUUAUUUUGGGAAAGUCAUUUUAUUGCCUCUCUCAUAUUUUUGUAAUAGAAAUUAUUGAAGAUAAAAUAAAUAAAAUCAAAUGAUCCUAUUUUCAAAGUUUGAGACAACUCAAAUAUGAAAAUAACGAAAUCCCCAACUCUCUCCGAGGAUCCUUGAGUUGCGAAAAAUUUCUAGGAUCAACCAAAAUGCAAUAAAUAUGAUAUGCAAUGAUGUCUAGUGUAUAACAUUCCAAAUUGAAAAUUUGGGAUGUUACAACCUCGAACUCAUGGUCAUCAAAGUGCAUGUCAGUUGGAGCCAACACCCAUAGUUGACAUGUAUGCAUCAUCGUUGAGACUACAAAAUAUAUAGAACAAUGCGAAUAAGCUAUCUAUAUCAAUGCAUUCAAGAAAUAACAAGAAAAAAAGGUUGGGGAAAUUUUCUACCUUUGGGGCAUAUCCUCGAACACGUUGUGCGCAUCGGCCGCCAGCUCAAUGAGUGAGCUCGUCGGCGCUUCGGUAGCCCCCGUGCCCGUCACAUGCCCUGCAAGUUUCUUCCUCGACGCCUUCGAGGUGUCGGAGCCGUCCGCCGCCUUAUUCUUCUUUGCGGAUGUCUUGCCCUUCUUCGGCUGCGCCGCAUUUGGGAGCUUCGAGGGGGGGGGCACGGGGCGGCGCCGGCGCGACGCGACCCACCAUCGAGGUCAUCCGCGGCGGCAUGAAGGGCCGCGUGUGAGGCCGAUGCUCGGAGGAGCUCCGGCGGAGGCGAGGCCAACGCUCCCCGCGCUAGGGUUUGUGGCGGCGGCGACGAUGGAAGGGUCGCGGAUGUAGGAUGCGGUGAGCGGGGUGCCGGCGCGUGCGCCCAUCGGGUCCAGCUCGCCGGCGCCGGCGCGCGCGUGGCGAAGGUGACGCGGAGGAGAGAGUGCGGUGCGAGCGCUGGUGUGUGCCGCGCGCGGAAGUGGGCGCCCUAAAUACACAACGCGCGUUGACGGUUCGGACAGCGCGCCCGACUCCAUACGCCGCGCGCGCGGUUAUUGCGCCCGCUGGAGCCACUCUAUCAGUUGCGCGCACGUUAAAAUGACCAAAUUUACGGCACGACGUUUGUUUAACACGGUUGUUGAAUAUGCUCUCAGGUAGCUAGGGCCAUAGCACAUGACGCUACGACGUCCAUCCGCAUGCCGCACCCCCAGUUAGCGUGAGUUGUCCCCACAUGUCAAUCAGUCACUGCAUGGUCGAAUGAGGUGUGUUUGGUAGGGCGUAUGAGGGGUGCAUGAGAGCAAAAGUUCCCUUCUCGACCCACUUUUGAGUGUUUGGUAGAGUAUGAAGGGUGCAUGAGUCCACACUAGUUUAGCACAAAUACACUAAAAGCAUGCAUGAGGAGAGCAUGCAUGAGGAGGGAUGUUGAGGUGAGCAUGCAUAAAGAGAGAACAACUAUGCUGAGAUGAGAACGCAACCAAACACACCCUAUUUUUCCGUCUGAGGUGCGGUGCAUAGCUCGCAGCAGAUCGGUACUGCUUUUUCACGGUACUUUCUAUGAGAGGGUACCUUGUGAACGAUUAUUUGUUGUUAGAAAUUCAACACUGAGUGAAGCGGCCAGGAAAGAGAUAACUAGCAUUUAGUGGAUGAAGCGAAGGCUGGUCGUCUUGUACAGUCUGGAGACAAAUCCAGUCUCCGGGGUCCUACUUUGUUCUCCGGAAUCAUUAGCCAUUCGGAGCUACGCGCCAGAGCCAGAGUCACAAUCAAAUCAUCAAUUAGAGGCUCACGUUCCAUCAACAAAACAAUAAAGGAAUACCUAAAACUCAUCUAGAUGAGAUAUAAUUUAAUCUUAUUUAUUUUAAAAAUUAGAACAGAUACAAUCCAUGUCAGCACACACGCAUCUUAAAGCAUCACAUCCAAUGGCUAUAAAAGAUGAAUGAGACCAAAUUAUAUCUCAUCUAGAUGAGUUCUAGCAAAACUGAAACAAUAACCCACUCCUAAGCAUGGCCCGGCAUAGCUUUGUUUGCGAGUGCAUCCAUGCCGCUGCAUGGCAAACUGUCAUGGCUAAUAAACAGUGAUGUCCGGCUACCCAGUGCAAAUCUACAGUAAGGAUCACACUGUCAGCUACUACAUGGACGUAACGUACGUACAGUUCUGCCACAGUUGUGACGGUAACACGUAUCAAACCCGAUCGGGACCCGAGCUGUUUGGGUUUUACGAGUAGUCGUGGACAAUCUCGUCCGACUCCACGCGGCGGCGACGCCGUUGCUGGAUCACAGAGCCAUGCAUCACGUACGCCAGCCAUUCAUGCAGCCGGCCGUGGUCGACGACGCCCCACUCCUCCGUGGCCGGGCAGCUGCCAGGCCAACAGAAAACCCACGGCGCUGCCCGUGUGCGGUGGCCGUGGCACGCGCUGCCUCAUUCCCGCCGCUCCGACAGACAGACCGGCCGCCGUGCCGUAGUCAUCGCCGACUGCGCACGGACGCAUCGCGCGCAAGUAGGAGAGGCAAUGAUAGAUGGGUGCUGUUGCCGGUAUCAGCGUACGCCUGCACGCCGCUAUCUGGUCCAGCAUCUGAAGAAGGCGUCGCAAUUGUUAAUUAGCGCAGCUGUACUGCCGCGCGCAGCCGAUGCCUCUGUCCGUAUCUGCUAAUCCGCCGACGGGACCACGACAAGCAUGGCCAUUUAAGCAAAGCUAUUCGGGGGUGUGCACAACAAAAUUUGGACUUGAGCAAUCGGUUGCGAGACCACGGAGCAAUGCGACGGGACGACGCGCGGCGACGUCUCAAAAGGAUAAGGACGGCCGGCGAGGUCGCACGGUGCUAGGUGUAGCACACAGACACAGGCCGUGCGCAUCAAAGGAGGAAAUGUCAGACGUAAAUAAAUGCCAAACUGAGUGGUGGCUUUUAUUGGUUUUAUUUUGGGCACCCUUGGAGAGAAGUGAUAGCCUGCAUCGAUGGAGAACUGUACAUGGAGUGGCCCUAGCUAUCCUAGUGAGCGAGGGUGCAGGACAUUGGAUUCCUUUCCAGCCCCGGCGCCCAUGAACGCGGAUACGGCUCGUGUUAAGCGGGGGCUACUCUGACACUCACGCUAUCUAGAUCUACACAAGUGAAUGAUCCGAAAAUGCCUUUUGGAGCUCGGCCUACAUGGAGGUCGGUUUUUGAAAAACACAAAAAUCAUAAAAAUUCAUUCAAAAAAAUCUGAAAAAAAUUACAGAUAUACAUGGAGGCAUAACACACAUGUGUGUAAAUUUUUAGGACGAAAUACGUUGAAAUGAAGGCUGUGCAAAAAAGACAAAUCUGAGGCCUUUUAACACAUGUUACUAUUCAUCCUCAAAGUCCAGAAAUUUGUCUUUUUCUAUAGGUCGCGUUUCGAAGUAUUUCAUCUUGAAUUUUUACACACACAUGCAUUUCAUCCGUGUAUAGUUACAUAUUUAUUUUGAGAAUUUUUUGAAGUCAAAAAGUUUGAAUUUUGAAUUUUUCAAAAAUAAAGGGCUUCAUGGAGCUCGGUCACCAAAACUGAAUGAUCCAGCAAUGUUGCCGAAAUUAACGAGUCCCAUGCGUAGCUCUGCGUCGUAGUACUACCACUACCUCUUAGGCUGAGCGGCUGACACGCAUGGCCCCGGUACACACACGAGGUACGUACUAGCAAGAAAACACCAGGGAUCACGGACUAGGCUGGCUAGGCGGUACUGGACGGGGGGCUUAACAACAGGCGGCGCCGUAGUGAUCCCCGUUCCCGAAUCAAUGCGUGGCAGGCAAUAACUAGGUGAUCGUAUGUACACACGCGUCGUGGUACGCCAGUCAGUAGCUGCGGUCACGUACCUCUCGUGUACAUACUCGGGGCAAGUCUGCAUGCAUACUACCACUACCAGGAGGUAUGACUCGUAUGAGUAGCCACGCCCUGCGCCAAAUGGCAAGCAUGCCAUGCCCGGCGCACACGCACACCGUGGUGACCAGUCCUCAGGCCGUCACGCGGCACGGUGGCAGGGCGUCCUCCCCGCCGCGCGGCGCGGCGCCAUCCCCACGCGCGUGGGCGAGUGACCACACAAUCGCGCGCCGGGACAAACCCACGGACACUCCACGUAAAGAUUAGCCAGCCAGCCGCGGGCACCGGGCCAGAGCACGCCCAGACUGCGCUGCGUCCGUCCACGGCCCGCCUCCUCUCCUCCCUCCACGCCUUUCGCGGCGACCGAGACGCCUCAAGGCAAGGCCCCCAUGCCGCCGACGCGACGGGCGGACGGGACGGCACGGAGGCGAGCACGCCGCGCCGCGCCAAGCCCGGCGGGACGCCUCGGAGCGGACAGAAAGAGGACGGGCCGUGCCGCGCAGUGCGUCGUCGACCGGCACAAAAGGCAGCGGAUUUCGGUCGACGGCGACGCGCGGUGUCGCACACGCCUCGCCUUUCUCGAGCCGGAACAGAGCCCGGCCCGGGCGUGCGUGCAGAAUCGGCUGGGAAAGCGCGGCCGCGUAUCAGCCUUUCUCCGUCCUGCUCCAUGGUUUUCCCCGAAUUCCACGGGACAGCAGCCUCGUGCUAAAGCUGCCCCGUCCGACAAACCCCUCUUUUCUCAGCGACCUUGUGUUUACACAAGCCACACCCUUGCACUGUCGCUGCUCGGCCCAGACCAGUCGCAUUACACACGAAAAGAUGUGAAAAUUCGAAUGAAAUGCCAACUUCUAGCAAGAAGUUUACUAGAAAAGCGACUUCACAUUGGGGGCACGGAAAUAUUUUACAUGCAUACUACUCGUACUAGCACCGCCAGAUUAUUGCAUCCAGACGGUGGCGAGGGGAUACGCUAGGAGUUCAUCGCGGCCGAAAAGACAAGCUUUUUGCCACGUUAAGACAAGAGAGUAGAGCGCACACGUAUGCACGCACGUUUUCUUAAUCCGGCAUCAUGAUGCGAGUACCAACUAAUAGUAGUAUUAAAAAUGCUACUAGCAUCUAGGCUAAGAUUUGAUUGAGUACGGCGAUCGCCACUCCGGGGUCCGGACGGCCCGGC
rnacentral:lncRNA from 1 species